rnacentral:sRNA from 1 species
ACCACAAUCUUUGUACCAGCCUGUUCCCUACUAUACAUGGCAAUGAUGAAGUAAAACGGGGUGUCCUGCUGAUGCUCUUUGGUGGCGUUCCAAAGACAACAGGAGAAGGGACCUCUCUUCGAGGGGACAUAAAUGUUUGCAUUGUUGGUGACCCAAGUACAGCUAAGAGCCAAUUUCUCAAAUUUCCAAAGAGUCAGAGGACUUCAUUGUGGAGCAAUAUAAACAUCUCCGCCAGAGAGAUGGUUCUGGAGUGACCAAGUCUUCGUGGAGGAUUACAGUGCGACAGCUUGAGAGCAUGAUUCGUCUCUCUGAAGCUAUGGCUCGGAUGCACUGCUGUGAUGAGGUCCAACCUAAACAUGUGAAGGAAGCUUUCCGGUUACUGAAUAAAUCAAUCAUCCGUGUGGAAACACCUGAUGUCAAUCUAGAUCAAGAGGAAGAGAUCCAGAUGGAGGUAGAUGAGGGUGCUGGUGGCAUCAAUGGUCAUGCUGACAGCCCUGCUCCUGUGAACGGGAUCAAUGGCUACAAUGAAGACAUAAAUCAAGAGUCUGCUCCCAAAGCCUCCUUAAGGCUGGGCUUCUCUGAGUACUGCCGAAUCUCUAACCUUAUUGUGCUUCACCUCAGAAAGGUGGAAGAAGAAGAGGACGAGUCAGCAUUAAAGAGGAGCGAGCUUGUUAACUGGUACUUGAAGGAAAUCGAAUCAGAGAUAGACUCU